rnacentral:lncRNA from 1 species
CACUUCGUUUUUCGUUAACAAUGUAAAUAUUUUUAGGUGUUACCCGCGACAAUUCUUGAUAUACGGGCUCUUCUGCCCUGCGAGUUUUCGCCAUUACCUUUAUAUGAGGGUUCUGCUUGUGUUCAGCCGUUCAGAACUACCGCGUCCCACGACUUCCGCAACACCAGUCAGAACUUUGCCCUGCUUUGUUAGUCUUUGUGGUUGACGUAGCACGAACCAACCGAAAGGAGUGCAUUCGAAGACGACGCGCUGGCUGUAAUGCUGAACCAGACUGAACUCGCCCUAUUUUGUGCCCUUUUGUUCUUGCGUGUGCGCGCGCGUGUGUCAGUGGCUAUGCAGUUUGUAGCGUUCCCACUUUAUAGCAAAACAAAAAUAUAACUGCAAUGUUUACUUCAUCCAUACAAUUCCAAAUUAAAUCGUCUGCUGAUGUACAAAUUUCACUUGUGUUUUGUUCUAAAUAAGCAGCAAAACCUUUAACCUAGUAGGCGCUUCAUCUGGGAGUGAAAUCACGACAGCUUGGCAUUUAUUAAUGGAUGACUGUGACUGGGUCACCUUAUUUGUAAUUGCAAAUCUGCCUUUCAACUGACUUGAUGCUAUCUUAUUUUGUUCUUUUCACUCUAUAGACGGCUGGACAUCCUUCUUGUACCUUGGCGCUAGCUGGAUGACGGGACCUCAUCAUGAUCAGUGUAUUGCUUGCCUAUGUCUACAAGAACCGUCACGCGUGGCCUGUGACAGCAAGCUUUUGUGGGCAGCAAGUGCUCUCGUACGAAGGCUGGCCUACUCUGGCAGCAACGGCAAUCAUCUUCAAGAUUUAUCCAUGAUCACCUUUGCUGCUAUUUCUCACUCUUGUUAAUUACACUUCCUGCAUCUUUUCUAAUUUAUUAGGUAAUAAAGUAUGGAGUAUGUGA